AGUGAACGCUGGCGGUAGGCCUAACACAUGCAAGUCGUACGGCAGCACAGUAAGAGCUUGCUCUUACGGGUGGCGAGUGGCGGACGGGUGAGGAAUACAUCGGAAUCUACUUUUUCGUGGGGGAUAACGUAGGGAAACUUACGCUAAUACCGCAUACGACCUACGGGUGAAAGCAGGGGAUCUUCGGACCUUGCGCGAUUGAAUGAGCCGAUGUCGGAUUAGCUAGUUGGCGGGGUAAAGGCCCACCAAGGCGACGAUCCGUAGCUGGUCUGAGAGGAUGAUCAGCCACACUGGAACUGAGACACGGUCCAGACUCCUACGGGAGGCAGCAGUGGGGAAUACUGGACAAGGGGCGCAAGCCUGAUCCAGCCAUACCGCGUGGGUGAAGAAGGCCUUCGGGUUGUAAAGCCCUUUUGUUGGGAAAGAAGAGCAGCAGGUUAAUACCCCGCUGUUCUGACGGUACCCAAAGAAUAAGCACCGGCUAACUUCGU
rnacentral:rRNA from 1 species